GAGUUUGAUCCUGGCUCAGGAUGAACGCUAGCGGCAGGCCUAACACAUGCAAGUCGGACGGUAACAUAAGGUGCUUGCACUUUGAUGACGAGUGGCGCACGGGUGCGCAACGCGUAUAGAACCUACCCUGUACAGGGGGAUAGCCCAGAGAAAUUUGGAUUAAUACCCCGUGGUAAAUAUAAAUGGCAUCAUUUAUAUUUUAAAGUUUUCGGAUGGUACAGGAUGGCUAUGCGUCCUAUUAGUUAGAUGGUGAGGUAACGGCUCACCAUGGCAGCGAUAGGUAGGGGCCCUGAGAGGGGGAUCCCCCACACUGGUACUGAGACACGGACCAGACUCCUACGGGAGGCAGCAGUGAGGAAUAUUGGACAAUGGGCGCAAGCCUGAUCCAGCCAUGCCGCGUGCAGGAAGACGGCCCUAUGGGUUGUAAACUGCUUUUAUACGGGAAGAAUAAGGGACACGUGUGUCCUGGUGACGGAACCGUAAGAAUAAGGACCGGCUAACUCCGUGCCAGCAGCCGCGGUAAUA
rnacentral:rRNA from 1 species